GGGCUGUUCACUAUUGGAAUUUGUCAAAAUUUACUUAUCCAUUUAUUCAAAACGUAUUUGAGUGACUUCUACAUGCCCUGCACUGUUCUAAGUGCUGGGGUUAUAGCAACGGACAACACAGUCGAUUCCACGCCCCCUGGAGUCUGCAUUCUCACAUGGAAGAUGGGUAACAAACAGUGGUUAUGACUGCGUCGCAGUGAUGACUGCUGUGAAGUCAAUAAAGCGGACGGAGACAGAGGCUGAAGAUGCAGACUCAGGCGGGAGCCAGUGCUGAGUGCCGGCCUCUGUGCAGUCGGUUAGCUGGCAUGUGGGAUGGACGGGAAAUUCCACAGACAGCAGGUGUGUUUCACAACCUGGGAAUGUCCCCAGGACUAAGAAGCCUGAGUACUCUGCAGGUGUGGGAAAGCUUCAGCGUCGGCCUAAGGGGAGAAUUCCUAUGAGAUUCUCAAACAAGCCUCCAGAAACCAUCCAGCAGUCCUCCGCCUUUUCCAGUUCAGGCUUCCCAUAAACCAGUGUCAGGUCAGAGGUCGUCAUCCCAUUUCCACGUUCAUGGAACACCGUGAGACUUCUCUUCUCUGAGGAAGCAGUUUGGCAGUGGUACCCGGCAAAGAUGAUGACGUGUCAUAGCACCAGAGUUCAAGCAAAAUCAAAUCAAGAGUGAUUUUAGAUACCUGGCAGGAGACCCUGAUGGGUCCAGUUAGUCAAGGGUGCCACACAGGAUCAUCAGUAUGGACCCAGCUGGACUUCUGAGCACGGCCAGAAAACGUCCCCGAAGCAAACGCAUUGUUUAAAGUUUAAAACUGCAGCAAGACUUGAACCCUGCUGGACAAUCCAGUGCCUUCUCCUCGCUCACACCCCUUCCCCACGCCAACCUUCCAGCCUCUGCUCAGGCCUCCCACUGCAGGGAACCUCCUCCUCGCUGCAGGGGAAUCUCUCACGUAGACAUUGGCUCACGUCAUUCCCCUUGUUUAGAAGAGUCUAAGGACUUCUCCACGUUGGUCCACAAAGUCAAAGCUCCUCAGCAUUUUGUACAACAUCCUUCCGGGAGUGGCCCCUCUCACCUCCGGUUACACCCACAUCCCUGAUGCACCCCAUAUUCCAGCCACGGCAGUGACUGAGACCUCAGGCUGCACCAGGCUCCCUCAUGCCACUGUCGCUGCACAGCCCACUUCAAACCUCAGCAUGUCACCUUCUCCUUGUCCCAUGUGGCAAGCUCCUCACCUCUCUCUUCAGGGCAGGUGUGGCCUCCUCCGGGAAGCUCACCUGCCUCCCUCUCCUCCCACACACGCCUCACCUGUGGGCCAGCUCACCGAGUUUACGUCUCUGCUCCCUCCCGAGCCCCAGUCCCACAGUCUGUACUUCAGAGUGGAGAUUCUGUCUCAAAAACUGAAAGUUGCAGCUGCCCCAUGAUAAACAUUCAAUAAGCGUUUCUAGAAUGAAUGGACAGAUGGGUUUUCCACUUGAAGAACAGGACAUUCCGUUUAGCAGUUGGGGGAUGGGGAGGCAAGCAGGGUGCUGACUACUCAGUAUACAAGAUUCCACUCUCCUGUCUGGUAAGAUCACUAAAACCAACAACAAAAACUCUCAAUCUGCUUAAAAGAAGAACGUCUAUCCCUCGAGUUAAUCACCUUCAACAGUGUUUUAUGGAAAACACCAGCGUCACACGAGGCUGACGUGGUGGCGUCCUCCCUCUGCUCUCCAUUCCCAAUAAGGAGAUAAGGGGGACGCGCUGACAUUUCAACUGGGUGGAAACCAACCUCCAGAGAUGGAGAUUUCCAGGCUGGCAGGCUUUUCUGCCACCUCCGAAGGGUGCUAACAGCUGAGAGAGAUGGUGUUGCCCAGAGCAGGAUGGAGAGGCACCAAGUCAGCUGGAAAGGCAGCCGGGGUCCAGGGUUUCACCAGCACCUGGGGGACCAGCCCUGUGGCAGUCCUACGAGAUCCAAUUCUCUGGAUGAGGAGCCCAGGAAGAUGAAUUUUAACAGGUUUCUCCAAUGCUUCUUUGGCCCCUUAACCUGUGGGCACAACUGACUCAGACGGGACUCUCCCCAGAGCUGCCCAGGGAGAGGGAAGUGUCCCGUGGAGAUGGGCAUACGAGGCCUAGCAAACCGAGACCCUUUUCAACUGUCAGGUCAGGAGCCCUGCUUCCUCGUUUUGACUCCAUGCUCACUAAGCACCCUCUGGCGGUUCAGUCUCCAUGAGGCAGAUCUGCUGGGGGAGACUGUGCAGGGACAGCCAACAUGGACUUCUGUUCUUUCAGAAAUGUUGCUUCUCAUUGCAAGAUAACACACUGUCACGGUUGUUCUGUUGUUCUGUUGCCCACCAGGAGACGUUUGGCAGUGUCCAGUGGCAUUUUUGUUUGUCACAAUCGGGAGAUGCCACUGGUAUCUAGAGUGUAGAGGCCAGAGAUGCUGUUAACAUUUUACGAUGCACACAAUAGCUCCCUACGAAAAGAAUUAUGGUGGCGGGUAUAUAUGGGAACAGUCUGUACUCUCUGCUCCAUUUUGCUGUAAAUCUAAAACUGCUGUAAAAAACAAAGUCUAUUGUCUAAAAGAGGGAAUCAUGUAGCGCAGAAUGCCAACAGUAUCGAGGCUGGGAAACCCUGCCCUGAAGGAAGCCGCAGAAGUGCUUCCCUACUCCUGACCCUACGCUCACUUCCCUAACGAGGCCCACUGGCUUUUGUGAGGAACAGCAAUUUUGCAUAGAAAUGCUUCCAAGUGAGCUCAGAUGUACAUCUCUGUCUCUCUUCUUGUUCAAGUCAGAAGAUAAUGUUGUAACUGAGUAACAUAUGCUCUGCAGCGUCACCCUCACGAGGAAGCCACUUAGCUAUACUGCAAAUACGACCCAUGCUGAGGCGAGAAUUGCAUUCCCUUUUGAAAGACACACCUAUGUCAACAGAGGUAGACUAAAUUAGAAGCAUGAGAUGUUAACGCCACAGCAAUGUGGUCUUGGAAUCUGGUGUGAGGAUGACCCACUUUGGGGGGUUUUCGUUUUGGUUUCCAGAAUCUCUGUGUCUCCCUCAGCACAUGGGCCUCCCACACCCACACAUCUUGUGAGCCAUAUGGCACUCUUCUGGAACGACUUUCAUUUGAUUUUCAUUCUCCUUUCCUUAGAAUAUUUCUUUUAUUCUCAUUCUGUCAGGAUGUGCUGAGGCCCUUGGGGAAGGGUCUUUGUUCAAAUUCUCUGCUUGCUGGUAGUGACCUUUACAAUUCCACUCGCACCUCUGCCUGAAGCCCCAGCGAAACCGGAAAACCAGAAUGUAACCCUGCUGGCGAAGUUUGGAGAAGGAAUUUUAUACAACUUCUGUGGAUUUGGAGAAAUGGAAGAACCCACUCUUCUUUUGGGGUCAGGAUGUCAAUAAUUAUCUUAUGUGAAAAAUUCACAGAUUUCUUUUGUGUGGUGGUAGGUUAGGGUUAGGGAUGUGAGAAGAUAAACGCCACUUCCUGGAGCCACGGAACCACAUACCCCGGGGCCCUCAACAACAUCAGGGACUUGAGUGGUCCAGCAGUAAAGACGAGGGAAAACAGCUAACUGUUUCACCAGGACAAAGCCAGAAGAAUGGUGGAAAGUAACCGUUAGAAUUAAAAGAUGCCGGCAGGACAGCAGGAGAGAAUCAAGAUUAAUUAGGCACAUUGAAGGAGUGGAACUCACUGUACCGAAAGAGAGCCGAGUCACUUCCCCCGACUGUUAGCUCUCCAUCCACCCGUCCUCUGCUUUGGGUGUCGUUGUUCAGCUUCGGGGACACUCAGUGGCCAGUGAGGCUGGGCAGAAGCACUCUGUGCUGUUUGCCUCCACCCUGUGUCAUCCAUGUUUGCUGAAGACCUUCCCACCUCGCAUCUGCCCCAGAAUUCCACCCUUGGUGAACCUCCCAGUAGGGAAAUGGCUUCUCAGGAGAAGUGCAGACAUAGCCAUUGUCUGUGGGAUGACACCUACUCUAAGGUUUAGUAUCUCAGAUUAGGAGAGGGCCUCUCCCAGCCAGUGGUUUGGGAUCACCUGCACGCAGCCAGCGGCCUUUAAGCCAGUUUUGACAUGCUGUUUCAGCCAAAGAAACACAAAUCUGAAAUCCAAAGUCAUUGAAAGCUAUUUAAAUCUCUACGGCAGGGGCUCAACUCCGUGUCCUAGGGGUUCGCGUCUACAUCGCACAGAAAGCACCGUCAAAGACUCGUUCCGCAUCUCUCUCAGACCAUCUCCUCAGGCGUCCAGCAGCUGGGGACUGUUCUUCUCUGUCCCCCAACACUGUCUGCAAACUCAGUUCAUGUUAGACCUCCUCUCAUCUUUCUUGUUUUAAGCUAUUCAUCAAAUGCUCUUUUCCAUCAUAGUCUAGAUUAAUCUAGACUUUCAGAGAAUUUCUCAAAGCUCCUUUCUAUCCGUUACAUGUGUCAACAAAGCCAAAUGCCAGGCACCUGCCAGUCAACGAAGGCUUGCCAUCUUUGAAAGUGAUUUUAUGAAAGCUAAGCUGAACAAAUCCACACUUUUCCUUGCAAAACACAAACUCACAUGCACACAGUAAUAAGGCACUCUGUUCUUCUUAAGGAAAAAAGGGUGUCAAUUUUUACGUCAAAUUACUAAAAGUAUGUCUAUACAGGAUUAGUUUUUUGGUGGCUCAGAGAAGGGAAAAUCCCCUAGAAAGAAUGAUUUCAUCCUAUAAAUAAUAGGUUAUUCUUCGAGAAAGCUCUUGAAAUGUGCUGUCAAAGGCACAGUUUUCUUUCUUAAUGUCUUAAUGGCACUAUUCUCUAGGCAGAGAAAAGGCAUGUCUUCAGGUUACACUCAAAAGGGAUCUGCUUCCCAAUUCUUUGGUGAGUUGACCCUGUGGAUGGUCGGCUCCUCAGGGAGGGGUGCCCAAUGGGGCCUUUGGAGGAUCCAGCUGAAGGCCCUUUUCAACUCAAGACAGUCCUGAACUGAUCAGGACUCUGAAGAUCACGGUCAGCAUCCAUCGUUGGGAGCCAAUUAGCAAGACAUAUUCCUGUGUGCAUGUCUGCAUGUGUGUUUUGUAAAGUAUGGGUUUGUUCACACUUUAUCUUUAAAAUCACAAAAGCCCUCAGUGUUAAACUAAGUAACACAUCCAGGCCUGUAGGAGUUCAGGUAGCUGGACCAUGAAAGCAAGCUGAGCUGGUCCUGGAGAGAGAAGGAGCGACAAGCUGGGCCUUGAAUAAUGAGUCAGGGGAGAACCAAAGGCCUCACCAGGAGCUCUUUUUCACACACUUUCGUUUUUUCUUCAACUUGAAGAAGAAAACCCAAAUAUUAAAAAUUUGUCUUUUUUCUCAUUUUUCUACAUUUUCUACCUAUCAACCCAGGAACAACUUUCUACAUAUACAAUUCACCUUUCAUUUUUAUUAUUUAUUUUAGUAGCAUUGAUUGUUUUCUUCUGACUACAAAAGGAAGGCCAUAAAUUUAGCGUCCGAGGUUGUCAAUAAUCAAAGGGAGUGAAGGAAUGGCUCUGGAAACUCCUUAUUGAGCCUCAUCCUGGAGACUUCAGGAGCUAAGAAAAGAGCACCUGAAAUCCCGCCACUCAGAGGAAGCCACUGUUAGCAUUUUGGUGUUAUUUUCUGCUUUUAAAUUUUUCCCUGAAGAGUGACUCCCUGAUAUUUUGAUAAGUUAUUAAGAGAUUCUCUAAUAUUUGAACACGUUAUUAUGAAAUAUAACCAUCCAUAGAUACGACAUUAGUUAAUCCUUCUGUGACUGGAAACAGGCCAGGACAGCUCUGUUUCGAGCUUCGAGCCCCCAGCUGUGGCCCCUCCUAGACAACGGCCUGGCCUUCUAGUCUCUCCCCAACUGUGUCCCCCAAACACGUCGAGGGACUGACAGGUGAGAGGUGACUCGCUGGAAGUAAAAAGCCACCUGCUGUUAGGAAGAGUUUCUGGAAGUCAUGCGAUUACUUUUUUCCUUUUUUGCAACCUCUCAUCCCAGGUCAUUUGGAAAUGCACAGUAGUCUUAGGUGGCAGUCCUUCUGGACUUCUCAGGAUAUUUUUCUAUUGAGAAAAAGUCUCAAACCUUUACAGAUUGGAGUUUGUACAGACACAUGAUUUCCAACAUCAGCUGAGCCUUUGUGCAGCUUUGAAUUCCUUGUUCUUGGAACAAUCACUGUCCCACGUCCCACCACUCUCUCCGACUUGACACCUCACCGUAACUCAAGUUCCCCACCCCGUCUUUCUUGGCAGAUGGCCUGUCUUCUGCUCCCUAGGGAAAAGAAACUAGCGAGGUCUUCAGUUUCCCUCCUGCUUACUCCCUAUUUCACAGAAAGUGGUGUUUUCCUUCUUCCUAAAACUAAACACUCACAAUGACUUCUGCUUUCUCCACAGAUUUGCCAUGAAUUAUUUUCUUUUUUACUUUUUUAUAACUAUCUCUUCUUCAUUAAUAAAAUGUUCAUGUCUAUUUCUUCCGAACUCUUACUAAAGCCUAUAAUCUGUGAUUUUUGUGCUUUUCUAUAUUUUCCAAACCCUUUGUGUAUUGUUUUUGUCACUAGAUACAAAAGCAACCCAAUGUAAUACAAUCCAUUCUCUCUCUCUCCUUGGGCAAACUUCUUGAAAGGAUAAUGCCAUUCUAUACUUAAUAUUUACACUUUCUCACCUUUAACUUGUUUUUCAGUCUCAUGUCACCACGUCCCUGUUACACUAUAUCAUCCCUUUGCUCACAAAAGUCACCAAUAAUUUUCCAAAUAACAAAUACAUUAAUACUUUUCUCCAUUUUGUUAUAUGACUUCUCCAAGUCAUGAGUCAUUGUUUAUGACUCCUGGGUUCUCUCUACCUCUUACUCUAAAAGAUCUCCCUAGGUGAUAACAUCCACAUCCAUGGCUGCUGGGGAUGCAGUCACACUAAUGACACCCAGGGUUAUGUCUCUUUUGAGUUCCCAAAUCAAAUCUCGACUCUCUAUUGAAUAUCUCUUUGUGGGUGUGUCACACGGACAUCUCAAGUUUGAAAGGUCCAGAGUGGAAAUUGUCAUCUCUCCCUUCAAAUCUUCUCUUCCUUCUUUGUUUUCUAUACCAAUGAUGGUAAUGCCAUUAUCCCAUCUUCCAACUAGAAGAGCCAUUCUAGUUCCUUACUUGUUUUCCAUAUCCCAUUAUUUACCAAAUUUGUUGUUUCUGACAAACAAAUGUAUGUAGAAUAUCUUCUGUAGUUUUUCCUUUGAGUCUCAACUGCCCCAUCUUAGUAUAGAGCUUUCUAACUGUCUUUGGUAGGUGGCUACUCAAUUCACAGCAAGUCACCAACAGAUCCAACAGAUGGGACUCUCAAUGGCCAUGUCUCAGUUAACCCCAUCUCCUGAACGUGAACGAUGGCCCCAAGUUGGCCCAAUCAGAGUCUUUCUUCUAGGAAUGUGAGUUAUGUGUUCUUGAAUAGAGGGAUGGCGUAACCGAGGAUUGGUGGGACUGACGACAUCGAUGCUGCCACUUAGGUAGAAUGCCCACGACUCCGUAGCUGCCCUGGUUCUGCCCAUUGUCUCUGUUGUUUAACAAUUUCUUCAGCAAAGUGAGAGAGGCAACUGGGAAAGAACCUCCAAAUCUGCAUUCUUCCUCCUUCCUCAUGCCAUGUCCGAGUAUUCCCUGUAUCUAGUAGGAAAUUCAGCUCCACCACCAUGAUCCUGGGUUCUUCUGGGUUCUGCAGUCUACGGAGCCCAUCUCCUGCCUCCCUCCCUCCCUCCUUAGUAGGGUGUACCUCCUCUCCUCUGUGAGGAAGCCCCUCACUCACCAACUCUGACACCCUUGGGCACAAUCAGGGCCUCCUUCCCAUCUGCUCCCAUAGUGCACUGUCUUUACUCUUGCAAGUGCUUGCAAUGCUGUGACACAAGUGUUGGUCUACCCAUCUAUUGUUCUAUUGGACUGGAAGCUCCUUGAUGGCGGAGACAUCUGGCCAAGGAGCCCAUGUGCCUCUGGAGACACCAUCGUGGAGCAACAAUGACAAAACAUCAGAGACCCUUAGUGAGGUUGGGGAAUCAUGGCUGCCUCAUAAGCUCGGGCAGCUUCCAGGGUGAGAUACACCCUGACAGAAAAGUGUGUCAUGGACUGAAGUAAAAUAAGGGAAGGAGUGGCAGCCCGUGCUAGCAAUAGAAAAAGUGAUUCUCUGAUUUCGAGUUACAGGGCUGACAACAGCUGGAAGAAAGCCUUUGUCUGUGUCAGCAUGGAGAUGGCAAGAAUGCAGGAGCCAGGGGUGUGGUGGACAGAGGAGGACAGGAUGACAGUCUGGGGGUGUCUGGAGACAUACCAGUGCUGGCUGAAUGACUAUGAAAUGGCUCCAGGCACUUGGCCUCUAACUCAGCUUCCAGACACCAGAGAUCUCCCCCGUUCCUGGGCCCAUUGCUGAGGAGACUGAGAUCCAAAGGGCCCACAAAUGAUUUCCAAAAACAGCAAGAACAGCUCUUUGGACUCGGGGCCUCUGUGGUUGAAAAGCCAUGAGAGACUGUCAAGUAUAUUGAACAAUAAGUGGAGGAAGUCAGUCUGAGCGCAAAGGAGUGCACGUGACUGAGAAGGCAAGGAACAAAAUAUGUUGAAAGGAGGUUAAUUAAAAUGUAAAUCUGGCAAGCACUAAAAUUUUGGACAGCCUUAAAACUUUUUAAAUGUUGCCACUUUAAUAUGCCCUUAGGUUUCUACUUAUUUCUUUAAUUGCCAUCUGUUAAGCGAACAGUGAUGAUGAAGUAAAAUAAAGUUUUCCCAAAGCUUUUGGCAUUAAAUCUGCUUUAAAAACUCACUCAUCUGUGAAAGCUAAUUUUAUUUUUUAUUUUUUGGCUGUUGCCUGUUUUGUCCAGGCCAACCACCCUUGGUUUUGGC
ensembl:lncRNA